ACAACAUUCGUAUAGUCGAUCUACCGAGAAAUAUCACCCGCUCGGUGGAAGAUCUUCCCUUUGUCGU
rnacentral:pre_miRNA from 1 species